GAAUUUUGGACAAUGGGCGAAAGCCUGAUCCAGCAAUGCCGCGUGCAGGAUGAAGGCCUUCGGGUUGUAAACUGCUUUUGUACGGAACGAAAAGCUUUGGGUUAAUACCCUGGAGUCAUGACGGUACCGUAAGAAUAAGACCCGGCUAACUAAGUGCCAGCCGCCGCGGUAAUAAGUAGGGUGCAAGCGUUAAUCGGAAUUACUGGGCGUAAAGCGUGCGCAGGCGGUUUUGUAAGACAGAGGUGAGAUCCCCGGGCUCAACCUGGGAACUGCCUUUGUGACUGCAAGGCUAGAGUACGGCAGAGGGGGGUGGAAUUCCGCGUGUAGCAGUGAAAUGCGUAGAUAUGCGGAGGAACACCGAUGGCGAAGGCAACCCCCUGGGCUCAUACUGACACUGAGGUGCGAAAGCGUGGGGAGCAAACA
rnacentral:rRNA from 1 species